AAAUUUUGUAUUUUUUCUAUUGUGUCCUAAUGUGGGAAGAGCUAAUAAGACUACAAAACAGGUCACAUGUUGCUGCUAUCUUUCAUUUCAUUUCAUUGUUUGUUUACCUUUUU